rnacentral:lncRNA from 1 species
AAUGACUGUGAAUGAAAAGCCCUAUGGAUGGGUGAUACCUAUACCAUGAAAAAAUUCUUUUUGUGUUUGUGUAACGUGUAAUGUGGCCGUUUUUCUGUUUUUGCUGUUUGGGGUUGUACGGAGGAUAUCCAACCAAAAGUUAUUUUCACAAGAUGCAAAUGUUAACACCUCAAUUUUGUAGCGGUACUUUUUUAACAAUUGACCAUUAGCUCCGAUGAUGACAUUUAUGUCGAAAGCGCUCAGCUAAAGAAAUAAAUUAUUUACACACUUUGA